AGAGAAGGGGAAAGGCACCCUCCUGAUGGAAGGACACAGAGCUCUGAAGGCCUUUCACUGCUAGACAGCUGACUGAGGAACACUGCAGCCUGGUGAUCCAGGAAACACAGCGGGGGAAAUGGAGCAGAAACUGAAGGAAAGGCCAUCCAGACACCACCCCACCUAGGAAUCCAUCCCAUUUGCAGCUACCAAACCCUAACACUAUUGCUAAUGGCCAAUGGGAAACAAAAACGCCAUAGAGACUGGAGCAUGCAGCAGAAGAUACUUCCAUGGCGGCAAACAAUAAGCAGGCCGAGAGAAAGAAGUUGAGAUCUGGGUAUAAACCUUCAAGGGCUGUUUCCAAUGAUCAACUUUCUCUAUUUCGGUCAGACCUUCAAAAGUUUCCUCUACCUUACGAAAUAGAAUCACCAGCCCAGAAGCAAAGAUUCAAGACUUGGAGAGAGAGAUUUCAGAGUCAAACCACAGCACUGUAUCUUUGUGUUUAACAUUCUGAAGAGCUGCCAACUCUCUUCCAAGGAAACAUACCAUUUCGUAUGUCCACCAACAAUGUAUGAGUGCAUUUGAAUUCUAAUACUCUACCAUUAUCAACAAUACCCAGCUGUAGGGUUUUUUUGUUAUAAUAAUUUUAAAUAUGUGAAAAAUGUUAUAGUGGCUCAGACUCCACUUCCUUAAUGACUAAUGUUACUGAGCUAUUCAUGUGCUUACUGGAUAUUAGCGUAUGCUCUUUGAAGAAAUGCCUAUUCAAAUUCAUACCCUGCCUUUGAAAGCAUGAUUUCACUUAGGAUGUGAGAGUGUUUCCUUACCAUAAUCACUCUGUCUGGCUAAUCUGAAAGGUCCUUUAGAACAGGGACUGUGUUUUGUGCAUAGUUAUCUUGAUUUCCCAGUAAAAGUCCCAGUAGAAAAU